UACUAUGGGGCCACGAUUCAUACUGGUGUUUGUGGGCUGUGAUUGGUUGUAGGUUAAUUUGUCAUGUGUUUAUGAUGUAGCAGGCAGUCUUAGGGUUCAAGCAUUCUAUAUUCAUAUUACUAGAAUGGUGAAAAUAAUUUAAGGAUAAACAUAUGCAGAAAUCAAGUUGGUUUUUUGAUUCAGUUCUGGAUUAUAUCAAACAUGCCGUUAGUAGCAGUGAUGUCCUUGGCUUAUGAACUGAGAAACUAGGGAGAUACUGGGGUUAUGAAGUUUUUGGGAAAAGCUAAGGUUGAUGCUGCUAUUGGAUAAUGGGAAAUUGCUGGGAAGGGUGUUUUGAAAGAAACCGUGAAGAAGUAGAAGACAUUGUUGAUAAGUUUAGUUCCAGGUGGUUUCCGAAUUGGAUAUAUCCCUAAGGAGAAUGGGGACGUUCGGGACACCUAAGCAGAUUGUGUUCUACAAUUCAGGGGCAUUGUUUGAUCUGGCCUCACUAGAGGGGGCUGAGAUUUCCGGUGAUUGCGAAGCCACUUGUGGCUGAUGCUAGUGCCAAGUCGCACAAGAUGUUACUCGUGUUCAACCGUGAUGGGUUGA